GCAUCCAAUAUUCAGGGAAAAGAGAACUUACUUUGCAACCUCCCACCCAACCCAACCAUCUACUUGCUAUAAUGAGGACGUUCAGCCUGCACCUCAAGUGGUGUGAUUAGGAGGCAUCUCCAGUUGUGACGGUGGAUUGAUUGGACCAUGUGAUGGACAUGUGGGUACAGGGGAAAGGACUUUGACUUUCUUUUGGGUGUGGAAAACCAGGAAGCUUUCAGAUUCGGGUUUUCCCUUAUGUGCCAAUAUGACAUCUCUAAUAAAAUUGA